AGGGGAGUAGUUUAGUGGUAGAACUACGGUCUCCAAAACCGUUGGUGGGGGUUCGAUUCCCUCCUCCCCUG
rnacentral:tRNA from 1 species